AAUGAUUUUGAUUGCCAUUAAAUUGGCUUUGACUGCAUUUUCUUACUAUGUCUUGAGGCUUGUUUUAAGACGUCAAUGGCAAUAUUUGGGUGAACCAUUAAGAAAUAUAAGCCCUAAUCUCUACCUCCAACCUGACUCGAACCUGACCCGAGCUUGACCCACCCAACUUGGCGCGGUUAUCAAAAGAAAACUCCAAUGGCGGGAAAAAGGAAAUAAAAUGUAACACAAUAAUAAAGAGCAAAAUCCCCAGGGGAAAAAAAAAUAAUACCUUCGAUUAGCUAUCCCUGUUCCGUUGUUUGGUCUAAUGGACAAACACUUAGUUCCUUCUAAACCCUCAACUGAAAACCCUAAACCCAAACCAAGGCGGCGUCCAUGGCAAAGAUGCGAGCUCGAAUUGAAGGGAAAAUUCGACCCCAAGUACCGACACAGCCUCACUGGCCUCCUCAUGCGCUCUUAUUCAGAGAUUGGGGCAUUUCCGCAUUUCUAUCACAUUGAUGGAAAGCCAUGUCAAACCCAUAUUAAUCGGAUUAACAAUGCUGCGAAUUGGGGUCAUCAGCUUCCUUUCAGAAUGAAAGGAAUAUCUGCAGUUGACUUUGACAACAAGGGAAUAUACUUAGUUUCUGUGACAAAAUCAGGGUGCUUAACAGUGCACGACUUUGAGACUCUAUAUUGCCAGAGUAAUGACUUGUUGCCACGCUUAAACGAAGAUGAAAGUAAGCAUUUAAUGCACCUCUAUUUGCAACGGCAACUUGAUGUUGUUCGGUGGAAUCUUGCCAACCAAGAUGAGGUUGCUUGUACUUCUGUGAAAAGUAAUGAAGUACUGAUCUUUGAUAUCGGUUAUAUCUCUUCUAAACCAGUUGACGUGUUAAGAACAAGAUGCAAUCUCUCUGUUCUUGGUUCUGAAGUCUACAAGGGUCUUUGUGACAUAGCUUUUAUGACAACUGAUGAUUCAAGGGUAAUUGCUUCUGACACGCAUGGUGUAGUCAAUAUAUGGGAUAGAAGAAAGAGCCCUCUUCCUUGCCUCGAGCUUAUAACUGGUUCCCAUAACACCCUCAAUAGUAUCCAACCACAUGUAGAAAAUCAGACCAUUUUUGGGGCUAGUAAGGAUGGGAAUAUUUAUAUGUGGGAUCUUCGUGGAGGAAGAACAUCUGUUGCUUUUCAAUGUCAUAAUGAGACAGGCCAUCCGCCUCUGGUAUCUUUGAAGUUAGCAUCAAUGCUGGCAAAGAUUAGAUCUUUAAAGGCACAAUCAGAUAUUGUUCCAAAGGAAAUACACUCCAUUGAUCUUGAUCCUUCUUGUCCAUAUCAAUUGGCAUUCCAUCUAGAUGAUGGUUGGUCAGGUGUUUUGGAUAUUUAUAAUUUAAGAGUUACACAUGUUCAUUGCCCUCCUCCAGCUUGGUUGAACGGAGCCAGCAUAUCAACUGAUCUACUAUACUUGAGAAAACCAUCGUGGCUGCCAACAUCUUCUAUUUAUGUGGUAGGAUCAUCAUCUGUCAGUGGUAUUCAUAUUUUAGAUUUCUAUCCUGAUACCAGCUCUCCCAGCCAUGUGGACUACAUAGACGAUCCACAGAGUUUGCCUGAGAUAAACCACAAAAGAAAGCAAAAUAUUUUUGUUCCGUUGUCUGAAGGUGUUACCACAUGUGCAAGUCAUCCCCUUAAUGGUACCAUCAUAGCUGGGACAAAGUAUUCAUCUUUGCUUGUCAUUUCUCAACCACGCAAGUCAUUCUGAGGUAGAAAUUUGUGUAAGCGACAGGGAAGGCCCUCUGAAGUUAUGAAACUAGUUACUUUUCCUACUGUUUAGUUGCAGCAUACCAAAGCUGUCAGAAGGCGAAAGCUGGUAAAUUAAAACUGUUAAAUGGAUGGAUCUGAAUUUGGGAGUACUUGGAACUCAUAAUCAACCUGUUUGAGUGAAGUGCAUACCAAUUUCAUAGAAGUCUUGAGCUCAAGUGCAAGGAAUGAUUUGGUUGUACAGUAGUUUCUUGAUGAACAGGCCUUGACACCGAGAUGUUCAUGCUGAGGCCAACAGAGUUUAAGCUCCCCUUUUGCAGCGACCAACGAACGGCUUUGCACAAUUCCAGCAACGGGCAAAGCCAGUAGUUAAUGUAUGUUGUUAGCUACUCAGGUUCCAGUGUUUUCUCAAUCACCGAUGACACAUAGUAAAACAAUAACUAGGGAAUAAAGGAAGAAGAGGAUACAUCAGUUGUUCUUCAGAGUAGCCUGGAUGGUGCUUCAAAGUUCACUCCAGAGCAUGCUGCAUAAACAGCUGCAGCAGCAAUCAGGGAUGGGGAAUAGAAAACAACAGUGUCGUAAUGGGCAAGACCAAGCUCAGCCAAUAAAAACAUCAUGUUCUCCAUCAACAAUAAUACGCAAAUGAAGAAACAAAGAAGUGCUUCAACAAAACCAUGAAAUCAAAAUCAAUGUAAUGUGCGACAAUCAGGUAAAACAGAAGCCUUGAUAUCUCGAACAAGGAACAUAUAUGUUGUAGGCCCUGUUCAAUACCACUCUAACUUUCCCAAGAUUGCUUUCUCCAUUGCAAGUACCUGUUCCUCGGCAUAAGCCCCUGCAAAAGGAAACUAGUAAGAAGAGAAAAAAAACACAACAUAUCAUGCAAUGAGGGGAAUAAAGGAAGAGAGAACCUUGUAAUUGGGCGGGUAAUAUUGGCAGGGGGGUUCCCUUCAAUGAGUUGUAGUGUCAAGAUUUCCAAUAUCAAGCAGAGC